rnacentral:rRNA from 2 species
AGACCCGAAACCCGGUGAUCUAGCCAUGGGCAGGUUGAAGGUUGGGUAACACUAACUGGAGGACCGAACCGACUAAUGUUGAAAAAUUAGCGGAUGACCUGUGGCUGGGGGUGAAAGGCCAAUCAAACCGGGAGAUAGCUGGUUCUCCCCGAAAGCUAUUUAGGUAGCGCCUCGUGAAUUCAUCUCCGGGGGUAGAGCACUGUUUCGGCUAGGGGGCCAUCCCGGCUUACCAACCCGAUGCAAACUGCGAAUACCGGAGAAUGUUAUCACGGGAGACACACGGCGGGUGCUAACGUCCGUCGUGAAGAGGGAAACAACCCAGACCGCCAGCUAAGGUCCCAAAGUCAUGGUUAAGUGGGAAACGAUGUGGGAAGGCCCAGACAGCCAGGAUGUUGGCUUAGAAGCAGCCAUCAUUUAAAGAAAGCGUAAUAGCUCACUGGUCGAGUCGGCCUGCGCGGAAGAUGUAACGGGGCUAAACCAUGCACCGAAGCUGCGGCAGCGAACGUAUCACCCAAGACAACUUUACGGAGUUGACGAUUGACGGAGCGAAGCGACGUCAAAGCGUUCAUUAAAGUCGAGUUGGCUUAGGGAUACGUUCGUU